GACGAACGCUGGCGGCGUGCUUAACACAUGCAAGUCGAACGGUGAAGCGCCUUCCUUUUUGGUGGGUGUGGAUGAGUGGCGAACGGGUGAGUAACACGUGAGUAACCUGCCCCCUUCUUCUGGAUAACCGCAUGAAAGUGUGGCUAAUACGGGAUAUUCUGGGUCUGUCGCAUGAUGGGUCUGGGAAAGAUAUUGUUUCGGUGGGGGAUGGGCUCGCGGCCUAUCAGCUUGUUGGUGGGGUGAUGGCCUACCAAGGCGGUGACGGGUAGCCGGCCUGAGAGGGUGGACGGUCACACUGGGACUGAGACACGGCCCAGACUCCUACGGGAGGCAGCAGUGGGGAAUAUUGCACAAUGGGCGCAAGCCUGAUGCAGCGACGCCGCGUGAGGGAUGGAGGCCUUCGGGUUGUGAACCUCUUUCACCAGUGAAGCAGGCCUGCCUCGUUUGUGGGUGGGUUGACGGUAGCUGGAUAAGAAGCGCCGGCUAACUACGUG
rnacentral:rRNA from 1 species